AAACGUCAGAUACACGUCCAAUCAAGUGGAAUCAAUACUUAAAUAGCAUUCAUUACUUAUAUAAAUAUAAAAAUGAAGACUUUAUCAGUUGUAUUUGUGUUAGCUACAUUAGUUUGCUGCACACUAUCGUCACCUAUUGAUAAGGCAGAACCUGAAAGCCCCGUAGAGAUCCUCCUGAGCCCAGUACAGGUUGUGAUCGAUCCAACUCAGACUCUGUUCUGUACAAACUCAUGGUGUCACAAUAUUUGUGUACAACUUGGAACAAGGACCGGCUAUUGUAAUGCUCAAAAUCAAUGCCAGUGCUCCUUUUAAUAUCGUUUUAGUAAAUAACAUAAAUAAAUUAAAAUAAAUAAUUAAAAUAAAUAAUUAUCACUA